rnacentral:rRNA from 1 species
AUUGAACACUGGCGGAAUGCUUUACACAUGCAAGUCGAACGGCAGCACGGACUUCGGUCUGGUGGCGAGUGGCGAACGGGUGAGUAAUGUAUCGGAACGUGCCCAGUCGUGGGGGAUAACGUAGUGAAAGUUACGCUAAUACCGCAUACGAUCUAUGGAUGAAAGCGGGGGAUCGCAAGACCUCGCGCGAUUGGAGCGGCCGAUAUCAGAUUAGGUAGUUGGUGGGGUAAAGGCCCACCAAGCCAACGAUCUGUAGCUGGUCUGAGAGGACGACCAGCCACACUGGAACUGAGACACGGUCCAGACUCCUACGGGGGGCAGCAGUGGGGAAUUUUGGACAAUGGGCGAAAGCCUGAUCCAGCCAUUCCGCGUGCAGGAUGAAGGCCCUCGGGUUGUAAACUGCUUUUGUACAGAACGAAAAGGUUUCUACUAAUACUAGGAGCUCAUGACGGUACUGUAAGAAUAAGCACCGGCUAACUACGUGCCAGCCGCCGCGGUAA